AUUGAACGCUGGCGGCAUGCUUUACACAUGCAAGUCGAACGGUAACAGGCCGCAAGGUGCUGACGAGUGGCGAACGGGUGAGUAAUGCAUCGGAACGUGCCCAGUCGUGGGGGAUAACGCAGCGAAAGCUGCGCUAAUACCGCAUACGAUCUAUGGAUAAAAGCGGGGGACCGUAAGGCCUCGCGCGAUUGGAGCGGCCGAUGUCAGAUUAGGUAGUUGGUGGGGUAAAGGCUCACCAAGCCGACGAUCUGUAGCUGGUCUGGGAGGACGACCAGCCACACUGGGACUGAGACACGGCCCAGACUCCUACGGGAGGCAGCAGUGGGGAAUUUUGGACAAUGGGCGCAAGCCUGAUCCAGCAAUGCCGCGUGCAGGAAGAAGGCCUUCGGGUUGUAAACUGCUUUUGUACGGAACGAAAAGGCUCUGGUUAAUACCUGGGGCUCAUGACGGUACCGUAAGAAUAAGCACCGGCUAACUACGUGCCAGCAGCCGCGGUAACAC
rnacentral:rRNA from 1 species